ensembl:lncRNA
GGGUGUUACGGUACAGAGUCAAUGUGGAGGCUAUAUACAGGGUGUUACGGUACAGAGUCAAUGUGGAGGCUAUAUACAGGGGGUACUGAUACAGAGUCAAUGUGGAGGCUAUAUACAGGGGGUAACGGUACAGAGUCAAUGUGGAGGCUAUAUACAGGGGGUACUGAUACAGAGUCAAUGUGGAGACUAUAUACAGGGGGGGUACUGAUACAGAGUCAAUGUGGAGGCUAUAUACAGGGGUAACGGUACAGAGUCAAUGUGGAGGCUAUAUACAGGGGGUACUGAUACAGAGUCAAUGUGGAGGCUAUAUACAGGGGGUACCGGUACAGAGUCAAUGUGGAGGCUAUAUACAGGGG